CUCUCUCAGUCUCAGAUUUCCAGUCGCUGGGCCGGUCGUUGUCCCCCACGCCGUCCGCCACGCCAGCCACCGUACACGGUAGCCGAAAAUAGUCAAAAAGAGCAGUUGGGGCGGUGGAGCAGGUGGUGGCUGACAGAGGUGAUGGGAUGGAGGCGACGGCUAGGCUUAGAUUUAGGGUUUUUUUGUUUGUUUCUGAUUUUAGGUUUUAGUGUUUGGGUUACUGUUGGGUUUUAAUGUAAAUGGGUUUAAAUGAGUCUAAUGGGUUAAGGGUUUUAAUAGGUUUAGGGGUUUGUUAUUAGGCUGGGCAAAUUUUGGGCUUCUACAAAUAAUACUUCAAACCAACAUGUCAUCAGGUCGAUCAAAUGAGUUUUGUUAGAAUGAUUGAUUAUGAGUUUCUUUUUAUUUUAAUUAAAUUAAGUGGUUUGAAAA